ensembl:snRNA U6 U6 spliceosomal RNA
GUGCUUGCUUCGGCAGCACAUAUACUAAAAAUUGGAACAAUACAAAGUAGAUUAGCAUGUUCCCUGUGCAAGGAUGAUAUGCAAAUUCGUGAAGCAUUAAAUUUUUUU